ACGCACGCUGGCGGCGUGCUUAACACCUGCAAGUCGAACGGUGAUGCUCCAGCUUGCUGGAGUGGAUCAGUGGCGAACGGGUGAGUAACACGUGAGCAACCUGCCCCAGACUCUGGAAUAAGCGCUGGAAACGGCGUCUAAUACUGGAUACGAAACUGGCCCGCAUGGGCAUGGUUUGGAAAGUUUUUCGGUUUGGGAUGGGCUCGCGGCCUAUCAGCUUGUUGGUGAGGUAAUGGCUCACCAAGGCGACGACGGGUAGCCGGCCUGAGAGGGCGACCGGCCACACUGGGACUGAGACACGGCCCAGACUCCUACGGGAGGCAGCAGUGGGGAAUAUUGCACAAUGGGCGAAAGCCUGAUGCAGCGACGCCGCGUGAGGGAUGACGGCCUUCGGGUUGUAAACCUCUUUCAGCAGGGAAGAAGCGAAAGUGACGGUACCUGCAGAAGAAGCACCGGCUAACUACGUG
rnacentral:rRNA from 1 species